GGCCCUAUCGUCUAGUGGCUAGGACGGUUGGUUCUCAGCCAACAAACCGGGGUUCGACUCCCCGUGGGGCUGCCA
rnacentral:tRNA from 1 species